CCUAUUUAUAUUGGCGGCAAUUAAUCUCAUUAAAGGAACUUGUUUAAUAAUCGAUAACACACGUUUAAUUUCACUUAAAUUACUAAUUUAUAUACCGCCAUCUUAAGAAUCAACUUAACCAAGUUAUCCAAAAUACUACACUCUAAAAAGUUAGGUCAAGGUGUAAUUAAUAUCUAAGCUAAAAUGAGUUACAAUAAACACUAUUUAAGAAUUUUUAAUCCUAAAAUUAAAAUGAAAAAGAAUUUAAAUGUAAUAUUUUAAUAAAAAUUAAAUAUGAAUAAGAUAACAAAUGUGCACACAUC
rnacentral:rRNA from 1 species